GGUCACGUGGCCAAGUGGUAAGGCAUGAGUCUGCAAAACUCUUAUCGUGGGUUCGAUUCCCACCGUGACCU
rnacentral:tRNA from 1 species